GUGUAUCACCAGAGUGUUUUUAUUCUGACUUAUAUUCUGCCUAUUAUCUAAAUCUCUGUCACUAUAAUGAUUUCCAUUGGUCAGAUUUUCUAAAACAAAUAAUCAAUUAACACUUUUUAUUGCCGAACAACUUGUAGAAAAUUCUAAUUUUGUUAUCGUAUUUUUUUUCUUGUUGUAACUAAUUAUAUUGUAACUGUUUU